CGCUACAGACCGCGCGCCCGCUGCACCGCGAACUUUACUCCGUACCCCGUACCCCUUCUUCGGUACUAAAGUCGUCAUAUGCCGGUAUAUAUCUGAGUGUACGAUACAUAUUUCGAAUCACACCCAUCCAUAUACAUGUGAAAGGGUCACAAAACACAAAGGUUGACCUGUAAAGUUUGGUACUGGCAACACAAGAAACAGAUUUAUUUGUGCGUUAAAAAUUAACAUGAUUAGUGACAGUAGAGUGGUGUUUAUUGAAUAAAUCUACGAGUAGGCGGCGACACAGCGGCUACAUCAUGCUACGAGAUAAAAGCUGUCCUCAUCGAACUUGCGUUUGCCGACAAUGAAGAUAUUAAGACUUCAAAAGAACUCACUCACACAACUACGAGGCAUAUACCAGAGAGACACUUUAUCAUCUUCCGGAUGCCACCUAAGCCCCGCACCGGCGUUGUAGGAGCACUGCUGCAACUGGCGGGCCCGAUCCUGUGACUAGCUAGGUUUCGCACUAGCGGAACGGGUGGCGGAUUGUAAGUCUGCAUUUUAUCUUAUUUUAAUACAA